rnacentral:rRNA from 1 species
AUUGAACGCUGGCGGCAUGCCUUACACAUGCAAGUCGAACGGCAGCGGGGAGGAGCUUGCUUCUCUGCCGGCGAGUGGCGAACGGGUGAGUAAUACAUCGGAACGUGUCGAGAAGAGGGGGAUAACCACCCGAAAGGGUGGCUAAUACCGCAUAAAUUCUGAGGAAGAAAGCUGGGGACCUAGGAAUAGGCCUAGCGCUUUUUGAGCGGCCGAUGUCGGAUUAGCUAGUUGGUGAGGUAAAGGCUCACCAAGGCGAAGAUCUGUAGCGGGUCUGAGAGGAUGAUCCGCCACACUGGGACUGAGACACGGCCCAGACUCCUACGGGAGGCAGCAGUGGGGAAUUUUGGACAAUGGGGGCAACCCUGAUCCAGCCAUGCCGCGUGUAUGAAGAAGGCCUUAGGGUUGUAAAGUACUUUUGUUAGGGAAGAAAAGUCAGCUGUGAAUAAUGGCUGAUACUGACGGUACCUAAAGAAUAAGCACCGGCUAACUACGUG